UGCAGACCCACGCACUACCAUGUGCUGUUCGAUGAGAAUCGCUUUACCGCUGGUGCCCUCCAGUCCAUCACAUAUAAUCUGUGCUACACUUAUGCUCGCUGUACACGUUCUGUAUCUAUAGUUCCGCCGGUGUACUACGCGCAUCUUGCUGCGUCACGGGGGCGGAGCUACCAGGGCAAUUUUGGUGAUGGUUCAAGCAUAAGGGAAACAACACCAGGUGACGAACUACCUGAGUUCCUACAAGUCCCAAAGAUCCACGAGAAUGUGUCGGAGGUCAUGUUUUACUGCUGAAUUCGAGGU